rnacentral:rRNA from 1 species
ACGCUCGACACCUACGGAGGCAGCAGUGGGGAAUAUUGCACAAUGGGGGAAACCCUGAUGCAGCGACGCCGCGUGGAGGAAGAAGGUCUUCGGAUUGUAAACUCCUGUUGUUGGGGAAAAAGAGGAUGGUACCCAACAAGGAAGUGACGGCUAACUACGUGCCAACAGCCGCGGUAAUCUGAGCGGGCUGGCAAGGC